rnacentral:lncRNA from 1 species
GAGACGGCAAGGGAUGUGUAGCUUUUUCAAUCCUGGCCAUAACAUUCUUCUUCAUGCUCUUCUCAAUGUCCUUUCUCCUUUCAUUAGGUAAAAUGGAGAUGAUCCCCAGGGCCAUCUUGGAAACAGUUUUUGAAGUUGGUAGAGUCUCGGGCCCGCUUAACUGCUGAAAGAGUAGGAAGGGGUCCGUUUCAUUAGCGCGUUCAACCAAAGAGCGCUGUUAGGUGAGCAAAAACAAACCAGUUGUGUCUGAGCCAACACCCGUUUGUCUAUGGGUUGUAGCAGUUGGUCCACCUAAUCAAGGAAGUGCCGAGAGCACAGGACAUGAAAAGACACAGCGCUAAGGUUUCCUGCACCACAAGGUUCCUUUCACUUAAAAAAAUUUUUUUUUAUAUUACACCAUCUUUAUUUGUACCUUACCGUCUAAGGCUAUCAAUCAAACUUCAGUAAGAACAGUUUCAGCAUCAACUAACGAACAGUAGCCAAACCAGAGAGCAGUCAAAAGUGUUUUAAAGGGAGCAGCAUCAGCUGAUGUUCUGCCAAGUCUCUGGGUGUUCAGGACCAUGGUCCCCCGGCACUUCCAGGCCCCUGUGGGCUGCAGGUGGAUCCCCAGGAGCCAAAGGGCCGCUCAGGAAAGGGUGGAACUUGGCCUCGCAAUCAGCUGGCUUCUGCCUAUUAUGGUCAUCUUCUUUCCAGAGGUCUUGCUAUCUCAGUGGACGUGGCUGUCAUCCAGCCGUCCUGGGCUGUUUUCUCAUAGAAGAGGAUCUCCCUCUGAAAACUGUGUCAUCCUUCAAUUCCUGGGCCAAGUCUGGGGACACAUCUUUUCUUAAAGCUUGCUGGUAUGACGAGCAGUUCCCAUUUUCCUGCACUUUACGAAGUCUCUGAGGUGCAAGCAGUAGACAUCCUUCUCCAUGGACUCCCCCUGAGGCUGCUUCAUGUGUUUUCAGGGCAGUUCAGGCAGAUCGGAAACCACUGGCUGCAGCUUCGGGAUGUCCCUCUCCAGCUGUGCCCUUGAACCCUGCAGAGAGACCUGCUCGCUGAGCAGACCUUGGGCUUGUGCUGUGAGUUCUGUACUCCUUUGGGUUUCUUCUCACAAUCGUAUGUCUGCUUUACCAGUCUUUCCCUCGGGACAUUCGAAGGAAGCACCUAAAUUACCAUUGUCAUCCAUGCUUUCAGAGGGACUUGCGGCCACGAUGCUGGGGGACCACCCUGUUCUGCUUCCCUGUUCCCCUCCACUGCCAAGUCCUCAUUUUCCAUGUCGUCUUUCCUGGUGCAGAUGAAGGGUGCUCAGCAGAGCGUGAGCCACCAGGGAAGCCACUCGCCUACUCCAGUUCGAAUAUUGGGGACUUGAGGCCAUCUUGUCUUUUUUGUGUGUGUGUGGCGUCUGAUUUACAACUUCUUGGUCGGGCAGCUCUGUGGGUUGCUGAUGGUCCAUGCUGUCAUUCACAUCGUCCGUGGUGUGCACUGGAAGAUCUCCAUGCUGUGAAGCGUGCAGGAUGUGCUUCACAUCAGUCACUUGGGGAAGUUCAGGAGGCUGCUUUUUCAUGCUUUUUUCAGAAGCUCGCCUAGGUUAGGUCCUGAUCGGAAGACCUGCUCAUUUCCAUUAGAACCUUCAAGCAGAGUGUUUGGAGCAAUCAAGGACUGGCCCCAGCAUGGAUAACAGGUAGCUACCACUGGUGUGGGCUGCUGGCUGCAUCUUGGCGCAGGCCUUUCUGUGGGCCUCACCUUAGACUGAAGCCCUUUGGGCCAGCCCUUCCCUCCUUCUCACUGCGUGUCGUCUCCUGACCAGAGAGGCCAUCACAGCGGUGCACGCCCAGCUCACCCAUAGUAUCCCUAGGGUCACUGGCACUGGUCCCAGGAUUCUGUACAUCACUACUUACUGCUGCCCACAGGUGGGCCAGCAGCAGUUGAGGAGGCAUUUCGUGGUGAGCAGCAGGUCCUUCAUGGCUCUUGAGGGCUCCACAGCUCUUCCUCUUUUCUCUACUGGUAUGUGGGUCACAACUGACCACUCAGAACCCUGCAGAGUGUUCCACCUCUAACACAAACAAGGGCUCGCCAACCAGGGCAAACCAUCCAUUAUGCUGGGGGAGGAAAGGCACCGCAAAUUCUAGAAAACUGUGUCCCUGAUUUUGCUGUGCAAAUAUAAAGUGACAUUACUUAACACAGUGCCUUGGAAGAGGGGAAAGAGUUCACGGCAGCCCCCAGCUCAGGCCACUGCAGGUCCCACCUGGCCUUACAGCAUAGCUAGAGGGUCAAAGCCAGUCAAAGCCCCGUGUCCACGCAUGAUCCUCUCAGGGCAGCGUGAUGGCCCGUCCCUGGUGGGGCUCAUUACCCUGAUUUCAAGUUUCCUUCUGCUGCAGGGAAGCCUGGUCCCGCCUACAAAGAGACUGUCUACCUUGCUAGAUUGAACUAUAGGACUAUGUUUUCUUCAUCUCUGUAACCCCAGAAGCUCUCCAGAGACCCUUAUACACUAGGGACAUGGUCAUUGCUUGUCUUGUUUUCUUGUUGACUCUACUCUGACUUAGGGCACAUCGCUUUCCCCUCUAGAUCUCCAUAUUCAGAUCUGUGAAUGACAGUAAGUGGGUGAAGGCCCCUCUAGCUUUAAAACCCCUCCAAUACAGAGAGUACACUGAAACCGGAAGCAGAAGCUGAGUGUGGUGAGUGGAGCAUUUUCCCUGGCAUGAUGGAGGGGACCUAUGGAUCUGGCUAUGAGGGUGGCAUCUGGCCACUUGAAUGGCUCUGCAGAGCUGGACCCUAGUUUUCAAAUCAGACUCAAGAAUGAUCUUUAGUGUGGGUGGUUUUGUGGGGCAUAUAUUUUUUGAGACCUUGUUAUUGACACAACAGCUUCUGGGAAGUCUUUUUGACAGAGAGUAUGCACAGGUGCGGGCUCCAUCUGCUCGGCAGCCGCUGUCUGGUGACGGUGAGCGCUGAGAGCUGGAUGGUCCUGUUAGAAAGGCAGCAUGCCAGCCUCCGGUGAUGAGCAGAGUGACCCGACCUUGUCUCUCCUUCCCCAUGGAGCACUGCAGGCUCUUUCCCCAGACCUGCUUCUAGGCUUCCCUUCACCCGCUCCCACCAGGCAGCUGAGGCCACUUUAGGAUUCCAUUUUUAGUUGUACUUUUUUUUUAAUUGAUCAUUUUGUGAGCAUUUUUCUCUCUAAUGCAACAGAACUAGCACAAGUCCUUAAAGAUGUAGGAUCUCUCAGCUCCCACAAAAACAAAGAUAAUGGCCUAUGUAAUUCUCUACAUAUUUAAAUUGUUAGCUCUAAAAAUAGAUUCAGAGAAAGGGUGGACACAUGUUCCAAUUUUCUCAUAACAGUCCUGGGUUGUGCCUGUUAUCCUGGCAUAGUUAUUAAUCCUGUCCCCUUUCACUCUCAGACUCUCCUGGUUUGGAGGAUAAUUUCAUUCUAUUCAAAGAGGAAAUCUACAAAAAGGUGUCAUCAUCUAACCUGUAUUCAUAUAAACAUUUUCCAGUCUCACGGUUCUGUGUACCUCUCCAAACCCCUCAAUCUUCUAAUCAUUUUGUGUAUUAUUUAUAGGAAAAGAGCACCAGCUAAAAUAUCUUGCCCUUGGAUUUCUUCAGCCAGCUGCUGAAGUAAUUUGUCUUAGUCUUUACUGAAGACUGAAUUGUAUCAUUAAGACUUUCUUCUAAGUCCUGUUAUUUUGACUUUUUGACUCACUCUGUGCCCUCUGAUACAUAAAGUAGCAAUAAUUUGUACAAUGAGCCAUUGUAUUUGUUCACGAGAAAUUCUUCCUGUUCCUCACAUUUCUAUUCAUUUUCCUAAAGGUAUGUAUUUGAAAACUUGAAAAAUUGCCUGGCCCAGUUAUAGUUUAAUGGGAGCAUUUAAACAUACUUUUCCUACAAAGCUUAUCAGUUAGUUACUUAACCUUUAUGAAUAGGUUAAAUAUUUUCCACAGUAUUUAUAUAAAUAUGAUACUUGGUUUCAAGUUAAAUCUAAUAAAAAGGAAGUUAUUCUUGACUUAAAUUACUCCCAUUUCUUUUCAUUUGUUUUUAUCUUCCUCUUUUUUAUGACCACUUGACUAAGAAAGAAAUUCACAAGGCAGAUGUGGAAAUGUCGCUUUAUAAAUACAAGAUUCAGCCAGU